GACGAACGCUGGCGGCGUGCUUAACACAUGCAAGUCGAACGGAAAGGCCCUGCUUUUGUGGGGUGCUCGAGUUGCGAACGGGUGAGUAACACGUGAGUAACCUGCCCUUGACUUUGGGAUAACUUCAGGAAACUGGGGCUAAUACCGGAUAGGAGCUCCUGCUGCAUGGUGGGGGUUGGAAAGUUUCGGCGGUUGGGGAUGGACUCGCCGCUUAUCAGCUUGUUGGUGGGGUAGUGGCUUACCAAGGCUUUGACGGGUAGCCGGCCUGAGAGGGUGACCGGCCACAUUGGGACUGAGAUAAGGCACAGACUCCUACGGGAGGCAGCAGUGGGGAAGAUUGCACAAUGGGCGGAAGCCUGAUGCAGCAACGCCGCGUGGGGGAUGACGGCCAUCGGGUUGUAAACCGCUUUCGCCUGUGACGAAGCGUGAGUGACGGUAAUGGGUAAAGAAGCACCGGCUAACUACGUG
rnacentral:rRNA from 1 species